GGAAGGUCCGGGCGUUAUCCGGAUNUAUUGGGUUUAAAGGGAGCGUAGGCCGGAGAUUAAGCGUGUUGUGAAAUGUAGAUGCUCAACAUCUGAACUGCAGCGCGAACUGGUUUCCUNGAGUACGCACAAAGUGGGCGGAAUUCGUGGUGUAGCGGUGAAAUGCUUAGAUAUCACGAAGAACUCCGAUUGCGAAGGCAGCUCACUGGAGCGCAACUGACGCUGAAGCUCGAAAGUGCGGGUAUCGAACAGGAUUAGAUACCCUGGUAGUCCGCACGGUAAACGAUGGAUGCCCGCUGUUGGCGAUAGACAGUCAGCGGCCAAGCGAAAGCGUUAAGCAUCCCACCUGGGGAGU
rnacentral:rRNA from 1 species